rnacentral:rRNA from 1 species
UACAGAGGUCUCAAGCGUUGUUCGGAUUCAUUGGGCGUAAAGGGUGCGUAGGCGGCGCGGUAAGUCGGGUGUGAAAUCUCGGAGCUUAACUCCGAAACUGCAUUCGAUACUGCCGUGCCUUGAGGACUGGAGAGGAGACUGGAAUUUACGGUGUAGCGGUGAAAUGCGUAGAUAUCGUAAGGAAGACCAGUGGCGAAGGCGGGUCUCUGGACAGUUCCUGACGCUGAGGCACGAAGGUCAGGGGAGCAAACGGG